UACAGAGGUGGCAAGCGUUGUUCGGAAUUACUGGGCGUAAAGGGCGCGUAGGCGGUCUUUUAAGUUCCGUGUGAAAUCCCUCGGCUCAACUGGGGAACUGCACGGGAAACUGGAAGGCUUGAGUUCGGGAGAGGGAAGCGGAAUUCCGGGUGUAGCGGUGAAAUGCGUAGAUAUCCGGAGGAACACCGGUGGCGAAGGCGGCUUCCUGGACCGACACUGACGGCUGAGGCGCGAAAGCUAGGGGAGCAAACGGG
rnacentral:rRNA from 1 species